rnacentral:misc_RNA from 1 species
CCGAGUUUACAACUCCCAAACCCCUAUGUGAACGUUACCAAAAUGUUGCCUCGGCGGGGAAUUUAUUCAUGCCCCGGGCGCGUCGCAGCCCCGGACCAAGGCGCCCGCCGGAGGACCAACCAAAACUCUUGUUUUUUUAGUAUCUCUGAGUCAACUAUAAAUAAGUUA